GUGGGGAAUAUUGGACAAUGGGCGAAAGCCUGAUCCAGCCAUGCCGCGUGUGUGAAGAAGGUCUUCGGAUUGUAAAGCACUUUAAGUUGGGAGGAAGGGCAGUAAGUUAAUACCUUGCUGUUUUGACGUUACCGACAGAAUAAGCACCGGCUAACUUCGUGCCAGCAGCCGCGGUAAUACGAAGGGUGCAAGCGUUAAUCGGAAUUACUGGGCGUAAAGCGCGCGUAGGUGGUUUUGUAAGUUGGAGGUGAAAUCCCCGGGCUCAACCUGGGAACUGCCUCCAAAACUGCAUGACUAGAGUACGGUAGAGGGUAGUGGAAUUUCCUGUGUAGCGGUGAAAUGCGUAGAUAUAGGAAGGAACACCAGUGGCGAAGGCGACUACCUGGACUGAUACUGACACUGAGGUGCGAAAGCGUGGGGAGCAAACAGGAUUAGAAACCUUGUAGUCC
rnacentral:rRNA from 1 species